CAAGUACUCCCUCCAUCUGGAAUUACUUGUCAUGAAAAUGGAUGUGUCUAGAACUAAACUACAUCUAGAUACAUCCAUUUCAUUGACAAGUAUUUUCGGACGGAGGGAGUACAAG
rfam:Triticum aestivum genome assembly, contig: Triticum_aestivum_CS42_TGACv1_scaffold_129397_2BL